rnacentral:tRNA from 1 species
GGCGGAGCUGGAACGGUCCGGUGCCUCGGCCGCGGUGCGCGCGGCCCAGGAGCUGGUCGCCGGCGCCGACGCGCUGUUCAUCAGCACCCCGUCC